AACCCGCAAUGUACAGCGUGCAAAACUCGGGGUCAAUGCCCAGCCCAGUGCGGGAUUGGCCCCGCGGCACCUAACUACGCAACGUUCGUUGACCUCUAGCGUUAGUCAGAUGUUUUAUUUGCAAUACAUUGCGAGCUUUAAAAAAAAUGUUUUU